GACUGCAGUCAGACCAUUGGAGAGAAUCAUAAAGGGCAAGGGAAAGAAGGAAGGACAGGUCACAUGUUAAGAGAGGAAAAGGAGAUAAAGCCAGGAUGGCUUCAGCUACUGACUCCUUGUGGAAACAAAGCUUCUAUUAGCCCAUAGAAAAUGAGAAGUCUCCGAGGAUACUGAAAAAGGUUAUCAUGUGUUCAAGUCUUUAGACUCAAGGAUCAUAAAAGACUAUUGAGAGAUGAAAAGAAGAAGAAACCAUGAAAUGGAUGAUGUGGUCCCUAGGAGAUUCUGGAGCUGAAAGCAUGGUAUUCUUAAAGAGUCAUCAGAAUUUUGCUCCUGAGAAAGAGAAGAUCGUGAAUGAUAACAGAGAUGAUCUACAAACAAAAUCAAUACAAGAAUCAGCAGAGAAAUUCUCAUACCAGGAGAAAAUCUUUUCUUCAAAUAUCUCAGAUAAAAGUUUGAUAUCCAAGAUUUUAGAAGGGCAGAGGGAAUAGAAAACUGGCCUUGGAAUGAGAAAGACUGAGAUUCAAGCAUUGACCCUGAUAGGUAUCAGUUGUGAGACCUUAGUGUUCCAGACAACUAUGACUAUAAAUGGCAAAGAUGUUUUCUCAUCUAG
rnacentral:lncRNA from 1 species